UCAGUAUUGAUCGGCUGGUGUCAACCU
rnacentral:sRNA from 1 species